rnacentral:rRNA from 1 species
AGCAGCCGCGGUAAUUCCAGCUCCAAUAGCGUAUAUUAAAGUUGUUGCAGUUAAAAAGCUCGUAGUUGAAUUUCGGGAUCAAUGUUUCGGUCAUGCCGUUGGUAUGUACUGAUAUUAUUGAUUUCUCACCUUCUAAAGAACCGUAAUGCCAUUAAUUUGGUGUCACGGGGAAUUAGGACUGUUACCUUGAAAAAUUAGAGUGUUUAAAGCAGGCUCACGCUUGAAUACAUUAGCAUGGAAUAAUGAAAUAGGACAUCCGAUUCUAUUUUGUUGGUUUCUAGGAUCGAUGUAAUGAUUAAUAGGGAUAGUUGGGGGCAUUAGUAUUCAAUUGUCAGAGGUGAAAUUCUUGGAUUUAUUGAAGACUAACUACUGCGAAAGCAUUUGCCAAGGAUGUUUUCAUUAAUCAAGAACGAAAGUUAGGGGAUCGAAGACGAUCAGAUACCGUCGUAGUCUUAACCAUAAACUAUGCCGACUAGGGAUCGGAUGAUGUUAAUUUUUAAUGUA